rnacentral:lncRNA from 1 species
CUUAUUUCAGUCCGAUGCAUAAAAAGAAAACACCUUUUUCGUUGUUUUUUGUACCAGUUUUGUAAAUAUACACUACAUGUUUUUUGUAAGACAACUUAUACAAGUUUUUAUAAUAUUGACCAGCUUUCAUUACGGCGCUAAUCUCAAAUUCUUAUCCCUGAUGAUGUCGAUGACUAUCGACGAAAUAUUGGAUCAAUAAAGGAAUAAAGAGUA